UUCCUUUUGUGGCUCUUAAGAUUGAUGAUUGGGUUUUCACACUCAGGUGUGAGAUGUGCAUUCCAGAAACCUUGUUAGGACUUUGGCAUUUUAGCAACUGCCA